CCUACGGGAGGCAGCAGUGAGGAAUAUUGGUCAAUGGACGAGAGUCUGAACCAGCCAAGUAGCGUGAAGGAUGACUGCCCUAUGGGUUGUAAACUUCUUUUAUAUGGGAAUAAAAUGUUCCACGUGUGGGAUUUUGUAUGUACCAUAUGAAUAAGGAUCGGCUAACUCCGUGCCAGCAGCCGCGGUAAUAGGGGGGAUCCGAGGUUUUCCCGGAUUUAUUGGGUUUAAGGGGAGCGUAGGUGGAUUGUUAAGUCAGUUGUGAAAGUUUGCGGUUCAACCGUAAAAUUGCAGUUGAAACUGGCAGUCUUGAGUACAGUAGAGGUGGGCGGAAUUCGUGGUGUAGCGGUGAAAUGCUUAGAUAUCACGAAGAACUCCGAUUGCGAAGGCAGUUCACUGGACUGCAACUGACACUGAGGCUCGAAAGUGUGGGUAUCAAACAGGAUUAGAUACCCUGGUAGUC
rnacentral:rRNA from 1 species